GACGAACGCUGGCGGCGUGCUUAACACAUGCAAGUCGAACGGAAAGGCCCUGCUUUUGUGGGGUGCUCGAGUGGCGAACGGGUGAGUAACACGUGAGUAACCUGCCCUUGACUUUGGUAUAACUUCAGGAAACUGGGGCUAAUACCGGAUAGGAGCUCCUGCUGCAUGGUGGGGGUUGGAAAGUUUCGGCGGGUGGGGAUGGACUCGCGGCUUACCAGCUUGUUGGUGGGGUAGUGGCUUACCAAGGCUUUGACGGGUAGCCGGCCUGAGAGGGUGACCGGCCACAUUGGGACUGGGAUACGGCCCAGACUCCUAGGGGAGGCAGCAGUGGGGAAUAUUGAACAAUGGGCGGAAGCCUGAUGCAGCAACGCCGCGUGCGGGAUGACGGCCUUCGGGUUGAAAACCGCUUUCGCCUGUGACGAAGCGUGAGUGACGGUAAUGGGUAAAGAAGCACCGGCUAACUACGUG
rnacentral:rRNA from 1 species